rnacentral:lncRNA from 1 species
CAUGUUUGUUUGACUGGUAAAAUAGAAGGUAAGGGACUAUUUACAGAUAUCUUUGAGAAUAAUAUAAGUACACAAGGGGGCCAGGAAUAAUAGGUUAACAUCACAGAAAAUGUAGGCUGCGUAUAAACUUCCCAGCAGUUUGCAUGAUUCAAUUAUGAAGUAGUAUCCCAUAGGAAGGGCUUUGAUCAUCUGCACUUGAGACGUUUUCUACUUUGUCGGAUUUUUGAAAAAUCUCUUAGAGUGAUCUUUGCACAAACAGGAGGAAAUGCUGCUGAAUAUGAAGUCUUUUUCUGCAUUAAUUUCUUUCAGUUUUUUCCCCUCCAUUUGCUAAUUUCUUUGAAUAAUCAUUACAAUGAAGUGUAACAAAGAAUCCAUUCAGGAUUUCAGAAUAGUGAUGGCAUAUGUGUAUCUUGUAGAGCGUUAUAUAAGCCUAAUCCAAUAUUGUUGGCUCCUAUGUGAAGUGAAAAUGUUUAACUUAGUACUCAUGACUCGUAAGUGUAUGUAACUUGGCGCUGUCAUUGAGAUAUCUGAUGUCUAAUUUUCUUUCUCUUAUAGUCUCUUUCUCUU